rnacentral:ncRNA from 2 species
GAUAACCCACACGGGAGUGCACACCGAGUGCGCUGAGAGGACGGCUGAGGGCCGUCGACCGUAUGAACCUGACCGGGUAAUGCCGGCGUAGGGAGUGAUCGAUGACCGAUG